rnacentral:rRNA from 1 species
UACCAGCACCCCGAGUGGUCGGGACGUUUAUUGGGCCUAAAGCAUCCGUAGCCGGUUCUACAAGUCUUCCGUUAAAUCCAACUGCUUAACAGGUGGGCUGCGGAAGAUACUAUAGAGCUAGGAGGCGGGAGAGGCAAGCGGUACUCGAUGGGUAGGGGUAAAAUCCGUUGAUCCAUUGAAGACCACCAGUGGCGAAGGCGGCUUGCCAGAACGCGCUCGACGGUGAGGGAUGAAAGCUGGGGGAGCAAAGCCAGGG